GAUCGCAGCAGCAUCUAAUGCCCUCAGAUACCGUGGGAGCUGGAGGAAAAGACCUCUAGCAGUAACAGCAGCAGUGACAAGAGGUUUAUACAGCGCAGUGAAAUUUAUAUGAUGACCCGCAUUUCGGUGCCUCUUUCCACCAUGGCAAUCUUGGGUCUCUAUUCUUCCCAGACAAGUACUGGAAACAGAGUGGUAACUGCUGCCUUCAAACAGGGAUUUAGACUUCCAUAUCUUUCAUGCCGAUCAUCUUCUGGUCAUCCCAUUAGAAGUGAUACCUGUAACUGGCAGUCAGAAGUGUCAUGGAGCAUGUGAACUAUUAGAACCUAUGGGUUUUGAGUGGAUCCUUAUGUCUACACAAUGUGCUUCAAUGGUGUUCUGGAAACCCCCGCCUAAUAUUGAUUAAAGCACACAUUUCCUCCCACUACCCAUGAAUCUCCACUAGGUUUCACUGAACCUGUUAAUAAAGAACCUGUCCUGCUUAGAUCCUUUAGAUAUUGUUUCACCCAACCUAAGUAUUUCUUCUGGUUUUGUAACAUGUAAGGAUUUAAUA